rnacentral:rRNA from 1 species
AGAAUCAACGCUGGCGGCGUGCCUAACACAUGCAAGUCGAACGAGAAAGGGGAGCAAUCCCUGAGUACAGUGGCGACCGGGUGAGUAACACGUGACUAACCUACCCUCGAGUGUGGAAUAACAUCGGGAAACCGAUGCUAAUACCGCAUAACAUCGCAAGAUCAAAGGAGUAAUCCGCUUGAGGAGGGGGUCGCGGCUGAUUAGCUAGUUGGCGGGGUAAUGGCCCACCAAUGCGAAGAUCGGUA